GACGAACGCUGGCGGCGUGCCUAACACAUGCAAGUCAACUUGAAGGAAGGAGCAAUCUGACCUGAUGGUGCGCAAAGGGUGCGUAACGCGUAAGUAACUUGCCCAAGGUAAGGAAUAACGUCGAGAAAUCGGCGCUAAUACCUCAUAAUGCAGCGGAUCCGCAUGGAUAUGUUGUUAAAGGUUUACCGCCUUGGGAUAGGCUUGCGUCUGAUUAGCUAGUUGGUGUGGUAAAUGGCACACCAAGGCUACGAUCAGUAACUGGUCUGAGAGGAUGAUCAGUCACACUGGAACUGAGACACGGUCCAGACUCCUACGGGAGGCAGCAGUGAGGAAUAUUGGGCAAUGCACGAAAGUGUGACCCAGC
rnacentral:rRNA from 1 species